GAACCUACCGAUUGAAUGGUUCGGUGAAAAUCUCGGACUGCGGCUUGGAUGCCUUCGGGCAACCAAGCUGUGGAAAGUUGUUUAAACCUCAUCAUUUAGAGGAAGGUGAAGUCGUAACAAGGUUUCCGUAGGUGAACCUGCAGAAGGAUCAUGAUCGUAAUAGCGUCGUUUAGGUCAAUAGUGUAGAUCUCGGUGUUCUCCUUAUCAUUCAAAAACUACUCUUUUUUUCUUUCCUUCUUCUUCUCUUUUUCUUUUUUCUUUUCUUCUUUUUUUUCUU
rnacentral:misc_RNA from 1 species